AUACGGAGGGUGCAAGCGUUACUCGGAAUCACUGGGCGUAAAGGAUGCGUAGGCUGUAAUAUAAGUCAGAAGUGAAAUCCAACGGCUUAACCGUUGAACUGCUUUUGAAACUGUUUUACUAGAAUAUGGGAGAAGUAGAUGGAAUUGGUGGUGUAGGGGUAAAAUCCGUAGAUAUCACCAGGAAUACCGAUUGCGAAGGCGAUCUACUGGAACAUUAUUGACGCUGAGGCAUGAAAGCGGUGGGGAGAC
rnacentral:rRNA from 1 species